AACUCUGGAAAGAGAUUAAAUUCUCGCCGAAGGAGUAAAACUCUCAGGCAAAUAUACAGAUGGGU
rnacentral:ncRNA from 1 species